CUGCAGCUCAAGUGGUGGCCGCUAUUAUUGGGCCUAAAACGUCCGUAGCCGGUUUAGUAAAUGCCUGGGUAAAUCGUGUAGCUUAACUAUACGACUUCCGGGUAGACUGCUAGACUUGGGACCGGGAGAGGCUAGAGGUACUCCUGGGGUAGAGGUGAAAUUCUGUAAUCCUAGGGGGACCACCAGUGGCGAAGGCGUCUAGCUAGAACGGGUCUGACGGUGAGGGACGAAGCCCUGGGGCACAAACCGGAUUAGAUACCCGUGUAGUCC
rnacentral:rRNA from 1 species